rnacentral:rRNA from 1 species
AUUGCUUUUAAAACUGUUAAUCUAGAGAUUGAAAGAGGAUAGAGGAAUUCCUAGUGUAGAGGUAAAAUUCGUAAAUAUUAGGAGGAACACCAGUGGCGAAGGCGUCUAUCUGGUUCAAAUCUGACGCUGAGGCGCGAAGGCGUGGGGAGCAAACAGGAUUAGAUACCCUGGUAGUCCACGCUGUAAACGAUGAAUGUUAAAUAUGGGAAAUUUAUUUUCUGUAUUACAGCUAACGCGUUAAACAUUCCGCCUGGGGACUACGGUCGCAAGAUUAAAACUCAAAGGAAUUGACGGGGACCCGCACAAGCGGUGGAGCAUGUGGUUUAAUUCGAUCAACGCGAAAAACCUUACCACUCCUUGACAUGGAAAUCAUACCUAUUCGAAGGGAUAGGGUCGGUUCGGCCGGAUUUCACACAGGUGUUGCAUGGCUGUCGUCAGCUCGUGUCGUGAAAUGUUGGGUUAAGUCCCGCAACGAGCGCAACCCUCAUCCUUAGUUACCAUCAGAUAAUGCUGGGGACUUUAAGGAAACUGCUAGUGAUAAACUGGAGGAAGGUGGGGAUGAUGUCAAGUCAUCAUGGCCCUUAUGGAGUGGGCUACACACGUGCUACAAUGGUGGCUACAAUGGGCUGCAAAGUCGCGAGGCUAAGCUAAUCCCUUAAAAGCCGUCUCAGUUCGGAUUGCACUCUGCAACUCGAGUGCAUGAAGUUGGAAUCGCUAGUAAUCGUGGAUCAGCAUGCCACGGUGAAUACGUUCUCGGGUCUUGU